CCCAGUUCAGAUUGCAGUCUGCAACUCGACUGCAUGAAGUCGGAAUCGCUAGUAAUCGCGGAUCAGAAUGCCGCGGUGAAUGCGUUCCCGGGUCUUGUACACACCGCCCGUCACACCAUGGAAGUUGGGGGCGCCCGAAGUUGCCUAAGAAAUAAGGUACCUAAGGCGAAACCAAUGACUGGGGUGAAGUCGUAACAAGGUACC
rnacentral:rRNA from 1 species